UACAGAGGCUGCAAGCGUUAUUCGGAUUCACUGGGCGUAAAGGGUGCGUAGGCGGUCGGGUAAGUCGGAUGUGAAAUCUCAGAGCUUAACUGUGAAACUGCAUUGGAUACUAUCCGGCUAGAGGAAUGGAGGGGAGACUGGAAUACUUGGUGUAGCAGUGAAAUGCGUAGAUAUCAAGUGGAACACCAGUGGCGAAGGCGAGUCUCUGGACAUUUCCUGACGCUGAGGCACGACAGCGUGGGGAGCAAACAGG
rnacentral:rRNA from 1 species